CCUACGGGUGGCUGCAGUGGGGAAUAUUGGACAAUGGGGGGAACCCUGAUCCAGCCAUGCCGCGUGUGUGAAGAAGGCCCUCGGGUUGUAAAGCACUUUCAGUGAGGAAGAACGCCUGGUGGUUAAUACCCAUCAGGAAAGACAUCACUCACAGAAGAAGCACCGGCUAACUCCGUGCCAGCAGCCGCGGUAAUACGGAGGGUGCGAGCGUUAAUCGGAAUUACUGGGCGUAAAGCGCGCGUAGGUGGCUUGAUAAGCCGGUUGUGAAAGCCCCGGGCUCAACCUGGGAACGGCAUCCGGAACUGUCAAGCUUGAGUGCAGGAGAGGACGGUAGAAUUCACGGUGUAGCGGUGAAAUGCGUAGAGAUCGGGAGGAAUACCAGUGGCGAAGGCGGCCUUCUGGACUGACACUGACACUGAGGUGCGGAAGCGUGGGUAGCACACAGGAUUAGAUACCCUAGUAGUC
rnacentral:rRNA from 1 species